CGGUGCACUAAACGUAUAAAGCGGGCAAUGACUUCUACGCGCUUUAUUGUAAUCUCUGAGAUCUCUGGGAACCACUUUUUCGCACGUUUAGUUGUUUCUUUACCAACGGACCAAUGACCAUUGCCAACUUCGAGAAAGUACGGCACUCGGUAACGGGAAACGUGUGUUGGUCCACGAUUGUUUCUUAGAAGGAGAAAGAAAAAAGCGAGAGGAUGGCGUGUGAGAGAGAGAGAGAGAGAGAAUGAGAGGGGUCGGCGGAGUGAGUGAGGGUAAAGGAAAGAGCGAAGAGAACGAGCUAAAGAAAGAAACGAGCCACGAGAACAACGUGGACGAAACGAAUGGACGAAGAAAGAUACGAAAAGGGCAAGGGACGAACUCUGAGGACGGCGGAUUAAAGCUAAAAACAUCGGACGGAGUAUCUGUUCACAUCUUACCGGGCAGCAUUAGAUUGAAGUUGAACCUUCUAAUACUGUCAGGUAAAGAUGUCGUCAGGAUUCCGAAAUCAACGUGAUUGGAAUUGUCAUCGGGCUGGGAUAAUUUCACUUGAAUAUUGUCGUUGUUCGGAUCUGAUCUAUACUGAAUUCGAAACAACCGGCAAUUGGUGUCGUUAAAAGCGUGCUCUUUUUAUGGAUUGUAUAUUUCAAUAUGAUCUAGUAAAAGCUAACUCUAUAUGCUAAAAUAUGUGUAUAAGAAUCGAAGUUACGAAAUACAAGAACAGUUCAAAUUUGUCGUAAUCGGUUUUUAUGGAUGAAUCGCGUAUGUUAUAAGUUUGAACUUUCCUUGUAUUUUUCAGAUCAGAUAAUAUGUAAUAUAGAGAAAUAACUAUGUUAAUGUAGUAUUUUAUAUUAGUUUUAGGUAUAGACUAACGUAGAUGUAAGUAAAUUAAUUAAAGAAUAGUAAGUAACUGCCUAUUAUGUAUAUUAGAAAACUGUCCUGUAUUACAAUUUAAGUUCUGCGCGACAUGUGAUAUGGUAUGAUGUGUCGGAUCUCUAAAUUUCUUAUUCUAAUAUUAUUUCAUUAGUAUAGCUAGAAUUUCAAGAUCGAGGUAGUCGAUGUGUAUUUUCGUGGCACGCGUGAGUCAAAGUGUUGUAAGGGAGGGGGCGAGGUCACCUCUAAGUGAACCGAACAGGAAUGAUAAGUAAAAUAAAAGGAAAGAAAUAUUUGACUUAAGAAAGAUAUAUUAUAAAUUCACGAAUAGGAUCUUCUUGAACGAUUGAACUAAAUCUUAGGCGACCAAAACCUAUUCGUGGAUCAAGCUACUCAUAUUUUCUUACAUUUCCAUCUUCACCUGUUUCAACCUAAUGUUCCUCGACGAAAAAUAGCUCCGACUGACUGUAAAAAAUGGUGGCUGGAAGUCACGUGAGAGAAAUGGUCGGUUAAUAAUUUUCCAUCGGUGGAAUUAUGCGGUGCGUGCGGCACAUGCAUAAAUCCACUGCACGUGUACACGUGACACAAGUGUAUACUAUCCCUAUAAAUACAUUCACGCGGAGUGAGUGUGUCUCGAUUCGAGAGCAACAUGUAUGAUUCUCUCUCUCUCUCUCUCUCUCUCUUUCUCUAUGUGGCUUCGUAGAACGUAGAGUGUAGAAAAUCGGUAGGAGGUAGAAAACGAAGCUUCUAAAAGUCGCGGCCUCGGUGUCCUGGAGAGAGAAGAGUGUGUAGGCGCGUGAGGAAUGUAAUGCUUCGAAAACGUUGCCGCGAUCGUAAAGCAUCGCGUGGGUCUCUUCGUGAGGGGUUGCGCGAGCAAAUAAAUUCGUUCGGCCGUCACGCCGCCAUUUUUACCCUCGUCGAUCGGUUGGCUGAUGAUUUCGCUCGUAUUGCAACGUACUUAUAUAGAUAGGUGGUAAAUUCUUCGAUGAGCUUAUUGGAGAAUCAUUGUGGCAGAAAUUGUGCGGCAAAUUGUUGAUGCGAAUCGAGGAUACUUCGUGACGCUAAUGGUCGAGUGUUAAUCUUAAUUUUCAGUUUUCUUUUUUGUAAUCGUGAAAUGAUCUCUGCGUUGGAUAUUUGUAGAUUAUUCAGCUACUUCGGAUAGUCUUAGGCUAAUCAUCAACGAGAUAUUUUUGCAAAUACUUGAUUUGAAAAAAAAGAAUCAUGGACUUCGGGUUGGUCGUUGGUAAGCUGGAAAAAGUGAAGAAAUCCGGUUCAGAAACGGGAUCGUAAUAGCGGCGUGUUUUGCACAAAGGUGCUAAUAAAAAGAGGAGUGUCCUUGCAACCAAGAUGGAGGGAUAUAGGAAAAGCAUAAGUAAUUGAAAUAAUCGCACGACAUCUUAUGCGCAUCUUAAGCAGCUGUUGCAACAGCGCGUGUAUUUUAUAACUGCGAAGUAACGUGCAUGGAUCUCUUUAUUCAUUUAUUCGUCUCGCUUGCAAGAGAGAUAGAACCACUGUAAAUUAUAUAGCCUAAUAUAUACAGGCAAGAAAAUACACCGAGGCGAAAAAGGGGAAGAGUAUGACAAGGACAAAAGUAUUCAUAGAGCUUAAAUGGCUAUAGUGUAGAGAGAUAUAUUACACGAGGAAUUUAUAGUAUUGAAAAAUCAUCAGACAGAAACUCUUAAUUAACAUAAACAAUUCAUUGCAUGAAAAAUACAGAAGCUAAAAGAAACAUCGUAUAGAAAAUCAGUAUUAUAAAGAAUCCAUUGUAUAGAAAAUACGUAACGCAAGAAGAGCUAGUGACAUAAAAAAAUCAUUCUACAUAUCGUGCGAACAGUGUAACGCAACAAAACCUGCGACCAAGGGGUCGUAUGGAAAAUUUAUGCCACGAAAUAUAAGUGAAACAUGCACUAUAAAAAAUUGUAUGCUAUUUUAAUAUUUAAGAAGACGCUGGUAAUAAUUACUUUAGAUACCUUCCGCAUGAAAAUUCGAUCCAUCAAGAAUAGAGUCAAAGCUCCCGUGACUUUUCCCUAUUAUCCCCCGCACUCGUGGAUGUCGGUUGACGCGUUCGAAGCACUUUGGCCAAUGGCCAGGGCCGUUUUAGAAAGAUAUCUGGCCGGAUCGACGGCUCAAGAAAGUACCGUGCAUAGAUGCCUCUCGAAUACAACGGCUCGCUUGUCUUGUACGAAUUGUUCCAGGAAGAAACAAUAUUCCGUCAAUAGCCUGUAUUGUCUGAUGGAGAAAAAAGGAGAAAGAUUAAGAUGAUCGACAGGAAAAUGUUAUAGCGUUCGAGGUUUUUAAUUAUGGUUAGAGAAUAAUACUUGAAAACGUGUAUUUUGAAAUCUGAAUUGUGCACUUGGAUUCGAUUGAUCCUUCGCACACGUGAUCUACUGAAGUUGCUACGAAUCGAUAAUAGGUCCAAUGUACAUUGAUCAAUGGCGUCAAACAUUCGCAAAUGUGAAACAAAUAAGAAGUUCAGUCAAUUCUACAAGUCUGAAUAUUGUAAAUUAUUUUCACAGUGAUACGUCGUGUCUUUUUUCUCGUUAUCGUUAAGUGCAUCCGGCAUCAAUGACUUGGUCUUUUAUCAGGACGACUAUGUGCUAAUUUAUGUUGGCUUUUUUAAAUUUAUUCAAUCCUUCGUUCGUACUUCUUUUUUAAUCACUCUGCUCGCUCAUCGUUCUUAAUUUAUUACAUUUAAAUUACUUGGCAAUUCGCAGGGAAUUGAAUAAUCCUACGAGAUUUCAGCCUUCUUCUUAGAACUCUUAAAACAGAGACAUAUGAAAAUACGUUGUAUUUUAAAGUUCAUGUGUACUUUUACGUAUCUAUAGAAUAAAUAAAGAUAGUAUCUAGGAUAAGAUUAAAUAAUCGAUAAUACGAAAAUCAAACAAAAUUUAAUUAUUUGAU